CUCUAGUGCAUACGUUUUUGAUAUUAAUGAACAUCCGUUACAUUCAAGCCAAUGCCAAAUGAGUUGUUACAAAAUUAAUUAAGACUAUCAGCUCCACACAACUCUCUCUGUAUUUCUCAGUCUGGCUGUGUUCAGAAGAUUGUCUUCCCAGUGACUUUCAUG